rnacentral:rRNA from 1 species
UACGGAGGGUGCGAGCGUUGUCCGGAAUCACUGGGCGUAAAGGGCGCGUAGGUGGCCUGUGGAAGUCUGCGGUGAAAGCCCGGCGCUCAACGCCGGGUCGGCCGUGGAUACUCUCGGGCUUGAGCUUACUAGAGGCAGAUGGAAUUCCGGGUGUAGCGGUGGAAUGCGUAGAUAUCUGGAGGAACACCGGUGGCGAAGGCGGCAUCCUCGGACCGGG